GGGAGAUUGGGGGGUGUUAUGGGGUGUUAUGGGGUGUUAUGGGGUGUUGGGGGGUGUUAUGGGGUGUUGGGGGGUGUUAUGGGGUGUUGGGGGGUGUUAUGGGGUGUUAUGGGGUGUUAUGGGGUGUUUAGGGG